CCCUUAGAUGUUCGGGGCCGCACGCGCGCUACACUGAAGGAAUCAGCACGUCUUUCUCCUUGUCCGAAAGGACUGGGUAACCCGCUGAACCUCCUUCGUGCUAGGGAUUGGGGCUUGUAAUUCUUCCCCAUGAACGAGGAAUUCCCAGUAAGCGCGAGUCAUAAGCUCGCGUUGAUUACGUCCCUGCCCUUUGUACACACCGCCCGUCGCUACUACCGAUUGGAUGGUUUAGUGAGAUCCUCGGAUUGGUCCCGGCGCGGCCUCUGGUCGUGCCGUAGUGCCGAAAAGAAUGUCGAACUUGAUCAUCUAGAGGAAGUAAAAGUCGUAACA
rnacentral:rRNA from 1 species